GCGGCGAUAGCUCAGUGGGUAAAGCGCCAGGUGAGAAGGUGAGAAGAUGGCGAUUACUCCGAGAGCUAUUAUCUGCGCGGGUUCGUAUCCCGCCUGUAGCA